rnacentral:tRNA from 1 species
GGAGAGGUGGCUGAGCGGUCGAAAGCGGCGGUUUGCUAAACCGUUACACGGGAGAAAUCUCGUGUCCCGGGUUCAAAUCCCGGCCUCUCCG